GUGACUAGGGACAGAGGGGGUGAUUAGUGACAGAGUGAGGGAGGGGGUGACAGUGACAGAGUUAGGGAGGGAAUGACUAGUGACAGUCACUCCCUCCCUCUGUCACCAGUCAUCCCCUCACUCUGUCACCAGUCACCCCUUCCCUCCCUCACUCUGCCACUAGUCACCCCCUCUCCCUCCCUAUGUCACUAGUCAC